UCAUCUUUAGAAGGUCAUUGGCCACCAUACCAUUGAUGUCAUCUGAUCGAGCGUGAAGAAAUAUCUACUUUUUGUAAGACUGACUUUCUGUUUUGGUCCUCUCAAGAUCUUCCAAGGGCUAUAUUUGAGUGUAGCUGCCUGGGUUCUUAUGAUUCUGCUGCUGGCCUACUCCUACACUGAUAACUUUUUGUACGCUGCCUAUUGUGGGCUGAUUUGUCUUCCCUCAAAAUUCAUAUGUUGAAGUUUUAACCUCAGUACUUCUCAAUGUGACUGUAUUUGGAGAUAGCGUCUUUAAAGAGGUGACUAAGGUAAGUUAAGGUACAAUGAAGACACAUGGGUGGGUCCUAAUCCAAUCUGACUAGUGUCCUUAUAGGAAGAGGUGAUUAGGACACAGGUUUAAUUUACAGAUAUUAUUCUAACAGGCACCUUGACUAGUCCAUACCAAUUCCAUAAGGAGAGAAAAAAUUGUAUUCUUUUUACUUAGGAUUCUUUCAGUAAGAAAAUACUUGACUUUGAUUAAUUUUGAGAGCUGAGUGACUGUGAAGUAAUUAAGAUGAUUACUGGGUAUGUCUUAUGGAAUCAGUCUUGUUGGCCUGAGCAUAUAAUUUAUGCUAUAAAACCAUUUCCAAAGUUAAAUUGAGGUUUUGGUAAGACACAAACUCUUUAAAGCUAAACUUUCGGUAUGGCAGUUAUACUCUUAGGGUUGAAUGUGUUAAUUUACUUUUCUAUGCAUUCAAAUGACUUCUUCGUAAUCCAAUGUAAACAAAGUAACUAACUAACUGAGACAAAAGUCCCUAAAUUCAAUAUUACCUUUUACUGUUGGACUGACUGUUAGGCUAUAUUCUCCAUGUGACACAUAGUUUAUUUCCAUAUGUCUUUAGGCUUUCCUAUGGCUUUCUUUGUUGGUUACUCUCUAUUUUACUGGGGACACUGAAAUUGGUACUGACAAUUGGGUAAAUGUUCUUUGUAUGUUGUAUGUUCUUUGUAGGAAUUUUUUUUUUUUUUUAAAUUGCCACCUGAGCUAACAACUGUUGCCAAUCUUUGUUUUUUAUUUUCCCUGCUUUUUCUCCCCAAA
rnacentral:lncRNA from 1 species